CGACAGUCCAUCUGAUAACCGAGAUGGUUACUAAGGGAUUAACAGGCUCAACCAAAAAGAAUUCUAUGAGGGUAAAGGUGCAUAAAAGCUCAAUUUAUUGGCGCAUAAGAAAGAGUCCUGAAUACUAGAAGGUCACAGUCUGUGUGCUGAGCUGCUAGCAAAACAUCUAUGAUGCUCCAAAGCUGCCAUUUUUCUUCCUUGACAAAGACUCCAUCUGCCACUGAGCCAUUUACAGCCUCCAAGUCAGAAUAUCAAUGAUUUCCAACCAUUCUGUAAGCCUGCUUUCACCUUGACAUCACCUCUCUAAUACAUCUGAAGCAGAUGAUACAUAUAUCCCCCACUACAAGCAUGAAACCCGUGCUUUAUUCACCUGAGAAGUAUUUAAGCUGCCCUCUAAUGUACCAUUUUUAUUCAUGCUGAGUUGUAAAGGAAUUUUAAAAUGUAUAUAUUUGCUAUAAUUCUUGUUGCUUUACUUACAUGCUUUAAAUCAGAUAUGUUUGUAAAACUUUAAAACCUGAAAAGACUGACUAGGUGGUUUUCAAUAAUGGCUUAGUAACUAUGACAACAAAACUACAUCAUA